CCAGAAAGUAGUCUAGGGAUAUUACUUUUGAAGAGUGGGUGAAGAAGUUUAAAGAGUUUUGUCAUAUUCGUUAUACCAUUACGGCUUUACUCUACUUGGUGUCAUUUGCUACCUCCGCCGCCAUAUUGUGCACCAGCUUGACUUAAUAGACGCCAGUCGUGUUCAGGAGAAGCUCUCUACUCCAAACCAAACCAAUACUGUGCAUGUACAUGCACGUG
rnacentral:misc_RNA from 1 species